AAGAGAACUGUGUAACUGAGGUCAGAUACUGGUACAGCUCUUUCAGAAUCUGAAUCCUGUGGGCACAAAACUUUCACAAAAGCCACAUAGACCCAAAGGAACCAAGUCCGCUGACGCGUCAGCCUGGACAGCCACCUCCCACAGAAGCCAUAUUCUAAAAACCCAUCCUUCUGAGUUCCCACAGCCUCAAGACCAUCUGGAAGGCAAAGUCACUUCCACCUGCACCUUUAAGAAUUCCCAUGAGACAAGAAGAAAGGAUACUGCCAUUUCUUAAAUGCGGAGCCUGAAGAGUGUCACUUCUGAACUCACCAGAUAAAAUAGUGAGGUUGACUGUGCGCUGCAGGACUGAUGGCCCAGGGACGAACCUGCCUGAUGGUCAGAGAAAUGCUGUUCUUGAGUCUUCUAGGAUGCAGCAGAUACAGGAACCUGGACAUCCCAGUGGGUGCCCAUGAAAAGCCAGCAUCCAUAGGAUCAGUACCCGUCAACAGCCAAGGCAUAGAACCAGCCUCGUGUCUCAUCAACACCCACGUGAGAGCAUAUGUGUAUACGCAGUAGAGUUUUAUUUACCUGUAAAGAAUGAAAUUAUGGACUGGGUGGUGGCAGCAUACCCGUUAAUCCCAGCACUCAAGAGGCAGAUUGGGCAGAGGCCAGCCUGGUCUGCAAGGUGAGUUCCAGGACAGCCAGA